rnacentral:rRNA from 1 species
CCUACGGGAGGCAGCAGUGAGGAAUAUUGGUCAAUGGGCGGAAGCCUGAACCAGCCAAGCCGCGUGAGGGAAGAAGGUACAGCGUAUCGUAAACCUCUUUUGUCAGGGAACAAAGGCGGGGACUAGUCCCCGGAUGCGGGUACCUGAAGAAAAAGCAUCGGCUAACUCCGUGCCAGCAGCCGCGGUAAUACGGAGGAUGCGGGCGUUAUCCGGAUUUAUUGGGUUUAAAGGGUGCGAAGGCGGCUUGUUAAGUUGGCGGGAAAAGCUCGGGGCUCAACCCCGGCGAGCGGUUGAAACUGGGGGGCUGGAGUUGGAGAGAGGUACGCGGAAUGCGCGGUGUAGCGGUGAAAUGCUUAGAUAUCGCGAAGAACCCCGAUUGCGAUGGCAGCGUACCGGCUCCACACUGACGCUGAGGCACGAAAGCGUGGGUAUCGAACAGGAUUAGAUACCCUUGUAGUC